rnacentral:rRNA from 1 species
AUUGAACGCUGGCGGCAUGCCUUACACAUGCAAGUCGAACGGCAGCACGGGGCAACCUGGUGGCGAGUGGCGAACGGGUGAGUAAUGCAUCGGAACGUACCUUUCAGUGGGGGAUAACGUAGCGAAAGUUACGCUAAUACCGCAUAUUCUGUGAGCAGGAAAGCAGGGGAUCGCAAGACCUUGCGCUGAUUGAGCGGCCGAUGUCAGAUUAGCUAGUUGGUGAGGUAAAGGCUCACCAAGGCGACGAUCUGUAGCGGGUCUGCGAGGAUGAUCCGCCACACUGGAACUGAGACACGGUCCAGACUCCUACGGGAGGCAGCAGUGGGGAAUUUUGGACAAUGGGGGCAACCCUGAUCCAGCCAUGCCGCGUGAGUGAAGAAGGCCUUCGGGUUGUAAAGCUCUGUCGGCCGGGAAGAAAUCGCACGGGCUAAUACCCUGUGUGGAUGACGGUACCGGAAUAAGAAGCACCGGCUAACUACGUGCCAGCCGCCGCUGUAAUAC